rnacentral:rRNA from 1 species
GUCAUAUUUAACACCAGCACUAAUGCACCGGAUCCUAUUAGAACUCCGCAGUUAAGCGUGCUUGGGCGAGAGUAGUACUAGGAUGGGUGACCUCCUGGGAAGUCCUC